rnacentral:lncRNA from 1 species
CCCGGCAACUAGUCCUUUUGUUUGUCACAUCUGGUGACACCUAUAUCACAGCGGCGCUUAGCCGCGCGACCAUUUCCGAUCUUCAUUCGAUACAGAACGCACGGCACAUUAAUAUCGGUCUUUAUACAUGCAUCGUUUCGACAUGUAACCAAUUAAAUAUUUUGUCGUCUCUAAACGUUCGUCGAAGUGCUCAACGUUAAUAUUUUUAUAGUAACGCGAGUGUAAUAAACCCCAAAUUGGGGUCCAAGGUUCGGGCUGUCAUUUGGAGUGUCGACUCCACCACAGCCACAUCACCACCAUCGCUACUCUCGCCAGGCAGAGCAGACCUCCCUUGCCGAGCCCUCGGACAGCCCCUGAGUACCUACGGUCGGCUGCAUUUCCAGAGGGGCGUCCCCCCACCGACGGCACAAACCAGGCGAGAGUACCUAACCGCAGUGUAGACAGGAUUUUGUGUGAAUUUAUAAAAACUAGAACCUACGACCUAAAUUAGCUCAAAAUUUAAUCAUUAAAUUUCUCGUUUCCGAACUUCGUCUCCGUUUCCGACAUUUAAAUAAAUUAAUAUUUUUUU